AAAUUGAAGAGUUUGAUCAUGGCUCAGAUUGAACGCUGGCGGCAGGCCUAACACAUGCAAGUCGAACGGUAACAGGAAACAGCUUGCUGUUUCGCUGACGAGUGGCGGACGGGUGAGUAAUGUCUGGGAAACUGCCUGAUGGAGGGGGAUAACUACUGGAAACGGUAGCUAAUACCGCAUAACGUCGCAAGACCAAAGAGGGGGACCUUCGGGCCUCUUGCCAUCGGAUGUGCCCAGAUGGGAUUAGCUAGUAGGUGGGGUAACGGCUCACCUAGGCGACGAUCCCUAGCUGGUCUGAGAGGAUGACCAGCCACACUGGAACUGAGACACGGUCCAGACUCCUACGGGAGGCAGCAGUGGGGAAUAUUGCACAAUGGGCGCAAGCCUGAUGCAGCCAUGCCGCGUGUAUGAAGAAGGCCUUCGGGUUGUAAAGUACUUUCAGCGGGGAGGAAGGGAGUAAAGUUAAUACCUUUGCUCAUUGACGUUACCCGCAGAAGAAGCACCGGCUAACUCCGUGCCAGCAGCCGCGGUAAUACGGAGGGUGCAAGCGUUAAUCGGAAUUACUGGGCGUAAAGCGCACGCAGGCGGUUUGUUAAGUCAGAUGUGAAAUCCCCGGGCUCAACCUGGGAACUGCAUCUUAUACUGGCAAGCUUGAGUCUCGUAGAGGGGGUAGAAUUCCAGUGUGUAGCGGUGAAAUGCGUAGAGAUCUGGAGGAAUACCGGUGGCGAAGGCGGCCCCUGGACGAAGACUGACGCUCAGGUGCGAAAGCGUGGGGAGCAAACAGGAUUAGAUACCCCUGGUAGUCCACGCUGUAAACGAUGUCGACUUGGAGGUUGUGCCCUUGAGGUGUGGCUUCCGGAGCUAACGCGUUAAGUCGACCGCCUGGGGGAGUACGACCGCAAGGUUAAAACUCAAAUGAAUUGACGGGGGCCCGCACAAGCGGUGGAGCAUGUGGUUUAAUUCGAUGCAACGCGAAGAACCUUACCUGGUCUUGACAUCCACGGAAGUUUUCAGAGAUGAGAAUGUGCCUUCGGGAACCGUGAGACAGGUGCUGCAUGGCUGUCGUCAGCUCGUGUUGUGAAAUGUUGGGUUAAGUCCCGCAACGAGCGCAACCCUUAUCCUUUGUUGCCAGCGGUCCGGCCGGGAACUCAAAGGAGACUGCCAGUGAUAAACUGGAGGAAGGUGGGGAUGACGUCAAGUCAUCAUGGCCCUUACGACCAGGGCUACACACGUGCUACAAUGGCGCAUACAAAGAGAAGCGACCUCGCGAGAGCAAGCGGACCUCAUAAAGUGCGUCGUAGUCCGGAUUGAGUCUGCAACUCGACUCCAUGAAGUCGGAAUCGCUAGUAAUCGUGGAUCAGAAUGCCACGGUGAAUACGUUCCCGGGCCUUGUACACACCGCCCGUCACACCAUGGGAGUGGGUUGCAAAAGAAGUAGGUAGCUUAACCUUCGGGAGGGCGCUUACCACUUUGUGAUUCAUGACUGGGGUGAAGUCGUAACAAGGUAACCGUAGGGGAACCUGCGGUUGGAUCACCUCCUUA
rnacentral:rRNA from 1 species